rnacentral:rRNA from 1 species
GACGAACCGUCCAAACGUUAUUCGGAAUCACUGGCUUAAGGGCGCGUAGGCGCCGAGCGGGUCGCGGGUGAAAUCCUCCAGCUUAACUGGAGAACUGCCCUCGAUACCACUGCGGCUCGAGGAAGGAAGGGGCAAUCGGAACUGUCGGUGGAGCGGUGAAAUGCGUUGAUAUCGACAGGAACGCCGGUGGCGAAAGCGGAUUGCGUGGUCCUUUCUGACGCUGAGGCGCGAAAGCCAGGGAGCAAGCGGG